rnacentral:lncRNA from 1 species
UGGUAUCUUGGCCAAUGAGAUGGGACCAGCACUCUUGUCUGAUGUCUCAUUGGUAGCCUUCAUUAGAGGAGCUUCCUGGGCUGGGAUGAAGCCCAGAGAUGUAAAGACACUUGUUCAAGAGUACACAGCUUCUAGGAGGAAGCACUGGAUUAGAACUGGGUUUCCUGACUCCCUAUCCUUUGCAGCCCACAACUUUGGAGAGCAUAGGUCUCAAAGACCAAGACAGGAACCAGAAGGGGUGGACGGAGUCAUGCUCCAUGGUCUUAAUUGGCUAGCCCACCCUUGCCCUUCCCUCCUUGUCUCUUCUACCAGCUUGUGAGCUCCAGGCGGGCAGGGAUAGUCCUUGUUCAUUUCUCGAUCCCCAAUGUCCAGGAUUAGCACUCACUAAGUGUUGUUGCUGAAAAACUGCAUCAUACAUGGAUGAAAGGAUCACCCAGGGAUGACCUUGACAUCACAAAUAAGGAAGGAACAGGACAGCCUGUGAGGUCACUGCGGUGACCUCCUUCGCAGAGGACCUCUGGUACUGCUCCAGCCACCAGUAAGCCCACUGCCUCUGGGCACUGCUCAAUGCUGCCCUUACCUGGACCCAGACCAUCAAGCUUGUCACAGGCUCCCCCCAGGCAUCCCAGACAUGACAUCCAAGACAGUUUCCUGUUACUCUCCAUCCUGCUGGAGAGUUCCAAUGACCUAUGGCAUGAAUACUCCAGACAAAGUGUUCCAGCCUUCCCCAGAAACCUCAAAAGUCUCUCAGGCACUCCAAGACUUCCAAGGCCAAAAAACUCAAGAUGUCUUUAAACAAGACCAAAGACCCCCUCAGGAAUCUGGCCAAGAAGCCCCCCAAGAAGGCUAGGCCCAGCACUUUUGAGCCUAGAUCUUUCUACUGCCUUGACCUCUGCCCCCUCCCACCAGAGCAGCUACAGGCCCCAGAGCCCCAGUUACCCUUAUCAAUCUCAGAGGCCACAGAUGUCUAUCUCCCUGAGGAUUUCCCAGCUGAGCCCAAGCUCAUGGACCAGUCCUGGGUGUCCAGGAAGAGCCUGAAACCAUCCAAGAGUCAUCUUAUGGAGCCACCCACUCCAGUGGCCAAGCACCAAAAGGCAAAGACCCGACAUAGGAGUGAGAAGAAACAAAACAAAUAAAUGCUUGGCAUCUCCAUCGACCUGGUCCUUUUCAGCCCAGACCUAUCAGCUCCAGACAUCCCAAAACAUCACCCUAUUCCAGAG